GGACCCCACUGCUAUCGGGAUAGGACUAAGACACGCUAGUCGUGCGCUUCCUAGCCACGAAGGGAGCGCGGCGCACAGCUCAGUAGCACGUGGCUAACCUGCCCUUGGGACGGGAACAACCCCGGGAAACUGGGGCUAAUUCCUGAUAGGUGAAGAACUCUGGAAUGAGUCUUUGCCGAAAGGGCGUUUACAUCAUGCUCGUAGGCGCUGCCCAAGGAUGGGGCCGCGGCCGAUCAGGUUGUUGGUGAGGUAACGGCUCACCAAGCCUAUAACCGGUGCGGGCCGUGAGAGCGGGAGCCCGGAGAUGGGCACUGAGACAAGGGCCCAGGCCCUACGGGGCGCAGCAGGCGCGAUG
rnacentral:rRNA from 1 species